GCAGUCGUGACCGAGUGGUUAAGGUUAUAAACUAGAAAUCCAUUGGGGUCUCCCCGCACAGGUUCGAACCGUGUCGACUGCG
rfam:Ixodes scapularis strain Wikel colony gcontig_1107728882142, whole genome shotgun sequence.